rnacentral:rRNA from 1 species
CACGUAGGGAGCAAGCGUUGUCCGGAUUUAUUGGGCGUAAAGAGCUCGUAGGCUGUUCGAUAAGUCGGGUGUGAAACCUCCAGGCUCAACCUGGAGACGCCACCCGAUACUGUCAUGACUAGAGUCCGGUAGGGGAGCGUGGAAUUCCUGGUGUAGCGGUGAAAUGCGCAGAUAUCAGGAGGAACACCAGCGGCGAAGGCGGCGCUCUGGGCCGGUACUGACGCUGAGACGCGAAAGCGUGGGGAGCGAACAGG